rnacentral:lncRNA from 1 species
UUGGCAAGGUACCAUCGCUUAUAUGAUGAAAUAUGAUUCUGUUCUUAUCUUCUCAAAUGUGACUUAAUAGAUUUUUCUUCUGGAACCUUUCCAGGUUGUUGUGUGCAUUGAUCCGUCAUACAGUCAGACCCUUGCUAAGCUAUAGUCUGUGGACAUGAGAUACAUCAUAUUUCAUCGUCUAGUCACGAGGAAGAACAGUGCAAAAAAGACAAUUACACAGGCUAUCGGCAUACCGUACAACCUUGGGCUUCUUGCUCCGUUUUGUUGUCUGUGUGCGUAGCUGAAACAUUCCCAUAUUUACCCCAGCCGGGAGAAACCGAAUAACUGCAUAUGUUGUAUAGCUCAGUUGUCUGAGUUUGUGGGAAUAGCUCAA